rnacentral:rRNA from 1 species
UAGAGUUUUGAUCCUGGCUCAGGAUGAACGCUGGCGGCGUGCUUAACACAUGCAAGUCGAACGAUGAAGCCCAGCUUGCUGGGUGGAUUAGUGGCGAACGGGUGAGUAACACGUGAGUAACCUGCCCUUAACUCUGGGAUAAGCCUGGGAAACUGGGUCUAAUACCGGAUAGGAGCGUCCACCGCAUGGUGGGUGUUGGAAAGAUUUAUCGGUUUUGGAUGGACUCGCGGCCUAUCAGCUUGUUGGUGAGGUAAUGGCUCACCAAGGCGACGACGGGUAGCCGGCCUGAGAGGGUGACCGGCCACACUGGGACUGAGACACGGCCCAGACUCCUACGGGAGGCAGCAGUGGGGAAUAUUGCACAAUGGGCGAAAGCCUGAUGCAGCGACGCCGCGUGAGGGAUGACGGCCUUCGGGUUGUAAACCUCUUUCAGUAGGGAAGAAGCGAAAGUGACGGUACCUGCAGAAGAAGCACCGGCUAACUACGUGCCAGCAGCCGCGGUAAUACGUAGGGUGCGAGCGUUAUCCGGAAUUAUUGGGCGUAAAGAGCUCGUAGGCGGUUUGUCGCGUCUGUCGUGAAAGUCCGGGGCUUAACCCCGGACUGCGGUGGGUACGGGCAGACUAGAGUGCAGUAGGGGAGACUGGAAUCCUGGUGUAGCGGUGGAAUGCGCAGAUAUCAGGAGGAACACCGAUGCGAAGGCACUGGCUGUAACACGGGAGAAA